UACGUAGGGGGCAAGCGUUGUCCGGAUUUAUUGGGCGUAAAGCGCUCGCAGGUGGUCCGUUGCGUCGUGCGUGAAAGCCCCCCGGCUCAACUGGGGAGGGUCACUCGAUACUGAUCGACUCGAAGGCAGGAGAGGGUAGUGGAAUUCCCGGUGUAGUGGUGAAAUGCGUAGAUAUCGGGAGGAACACCAGUGGCGAAGGCGACUACCUGGCCUGUUCUUGACGCUGAGGCGCGAAAGCUAGGGGAGCAAACGGG
rnacentral:rRNA from 1 species